GAUGAAGAACGUAGCGAAACGCGAUAAGUAAUGUGAAUUGCAGAAUUCAGUGAAUCAUCGAAUCUUUGAACGCACAUUGCGCCCAUUAGUAUUCUAGUGGGCAUGCCUGUUCGAGCGUCAUUAAGUCCACUUAAGCCCUGCUUAGUGUUGGGAGACUGCUCCAGCGGUGCUACCCUGUAGCUACCCUGCAGCUCCUCAAAGACAGCGGCGGAGUUGUGGUAUCCUCUGAGCUUAGUAACUUGUUCUAGCUUUCGAGUACACCACUUCCCCUGCCGUAAAACCCUUAAUUUUUAAUGGUUGACCUCGGAUCAGGUAGGAAUACCCGCUGAACUUAAGCAUAUCAAUAAGCGGAGGA
rnacentral:misc_RNA from 1 species